AAAACCUGACUGAAACUUAUCAAAGAUACCGUGAUCAUCUAGAGCAGUUGUGAGCUGGAUCGCGACCACUUUCUCCAAGAUUUUUGACAAAAAAGGCAGCUUGGAGAUGGGCCUGUAGCAGUGUUAAUUUUAUAUCAUCAUGUCCUG